GAUGAACGCUGGCGGUAUGCUUUACACAUGCAAGUCGUACGAGAGUUUUGAACUCAAGUGGCGGACGGGUGAGUAACACGUAAGAAUUUGCCUUUAGGAGGGGGACAACAACUGGAAACGGUUGCUAAUACCCCAUAUGCUUUCGAGUGAAACGGUUUUUCCGCCUAAAGAGAAGCUUGCGGCUGAUUAGCUUGUUGGUAAGGUAAUGGCUUACCAAGGCGACGAUCAGUAUCUGGUUUGAGAGGACGAUCAGACACACUGGAACUGAGACACGGUCCAGACUCCUACGGGAGGCAGCAGUGGGGAAUUUUCCGCAAUGGGCGAAAGCCUGACGGAGCAAUACCGCGUGAGGGAUGAAUGCCUAUGGGUUGUAAACCUCUUUUUUCAGGGAGGAAUCAAUGACGUUACCUGAAGAAUAAGCAUCGGCUAACUCCGUGCCAGCAGCCGCGGUAAGACGGAGGAUGCAAGUGUUAUCCGGAAUCACUGGGCGUAAAGCGUCUGUAGGUGGCUUGAUAAGUCAACUGUUAAAUCUUGAGGCUCAACCUCAAAACCGCAGUCGAAACUAUCAGACUAG
rnacentral:rRNA from 1 species